CGACCCCAGGUCAGGCGGGACUACCCACUGAGUUUAAGCAUAUCAAUAAGCGGAGGA
rnacentral:rRNA from 1 species